GGAUAGCUCAAUUGGUUGGUGCGUGGUGCUGAUAAUGCCACGGCUGCAGGUUUGAUCCCCGUAUGGAACA